rnacentral:rRNA from 1 species
UGGGGAAUAUUGGGCAAUGGGCGAAAGCCUGACCCAGCAACGCCGCGUGAGUGAUGAAGGCCUUCGGGUUGUAAAACUCUUUGGACAGGGACGAAGAAAGUGACGGUACCUGUAGAACAAGCCACGGCUAACUACGUGCCAGCAGCCGCGGUAAUACGUAGGUGGCGAGCGUUAUCCGGAUUUACUGGGCGUAAAGGGCGUGUAGGCGGCUAGAUAAGUGUGAUGUUUAAAUCCCAGGCUUAACCUUGGGGUUCAUUACAAACUUUUUAGCUUGAGUGCUGGAGAGGAUAGUGGAAUUCCUAGUGUAGCGGUAAAAUGCGUAGAUAUUAGGAGGAACCCCGGUGGCGAAGGCGGCUAUCUGGACAGUAACUGACGCUGAGGCGCGAAAGCGUGGGGCAAACAGG